UAGGGAAUCUUCCACAAUGGACGAAAGUCUGAUGGAGCAACGCCGCGUGAGUGAUGAAGGGUUUCGGCUCGUAAAACUCUGUUGUUGGAGAAGAACGGGUGUCAGAGUAACUGUUGACAUCGUGACGGUAUCCAACCAGAAAGCCACGGCUAACUACGUGCCAGCAGCCGCGGUAAUACGUAGGUGGCAAGCGUUGUCCGGAUUUAUUGGGCGUAAAGCGAGCGCAGGCGGUUUUUUAGGUCUGAUGUGAAAGCCUUCGGCUUAACCGGAGAAGUGCAUCGGAAACCGGGAGACUUGAGUGCAGAAGAGGACAGUGGAACUCCAUGUGUAGCGGUGAAAUGCGUAGAUAUAUGGAAGAACACCAGUGGCGAAGGCGGCUGUCUGGUCUGCAACUGACGCUGAGGCUCGAAAGCAUGGGUAGCGAACAGGAUUAGAUACCCUGGUAGUCCAUGCCGUAAACGAUGAGUGCUAAGUGUUGGAG
rnacentral:rRNA from 1 species